rnacentral:rRNA from 2 species
UGACCUUUGACCUCAAAUCAGGUAGGAUUACCCGCUGAACUUAAGCAUAUCAAUAAGCGGAGGAAAAGAAACUAACAAGGAUUCCCCUAGUAACUGCGAGUGAAGCGGGAAAAGCUCAAAUUUAAAAUCUGGCGGUCUUUGGCCGUCCGAGUUGUAGUCUGGAGAAGUGCUUUCCGCGCUGGACNGUGUACAAGUCUCUUGGAACAGAGCGUCAUAGAGGGUGAGAAUCCCGUCUUUGACACGGACUACCAGUGCUUUGUGAUGCGCUCUCAAAGAGUCGAGUUGUUUGGGAAUGCAGCUCAAAAUGGGUGGUAAAUUCCAUCUAAAGCUAAAUAUUGGCGAGAGACCGAUAGCGAACAAGUACCGUGAGGGAAAGAUGAAAAGCACUUUGGAAAGAGAGUUAAACAGUACGUGAAAUUGCUGAAAGGGAAACGCUUGAAGUCAGUCGCGUUGGCCAGGACUCAGCCUUGCUUUUCGCUUGGUGCAUUUUCUGGUUGACGGGCCAGCAUCGAUUUUGACCACUGGAAAAAGGCUAGGGGAAUGUGGCACCUUCGGGUGUGUUAUAGCCCUUAGUCACAUACAGUGGUUGGGAUCGAGGACCGCAGCACGCCUUUAUGGCCGGGGUUCGCCCACGUUCGUGCUUAGGAUGCUGGCGUAAUGGCUUUAAACGACCCGUCUUGAAACACGGACCAAGGAGUCUAACAUGCCUGCGAGUGUUUGGGUGGAAAACCCGAGCGCGUAAUGAAAGUGAAAGUUGAGAUCCCUGUCGUGGGGAGCAUCGACGCCCGGACCUGAACUUCGGUGAUGGAUCUGCGGUAGAGCAUGUAUGUUGGGACCCGAAAGAUGGUGAACUAUGCCUGAAUAGGGUGAAGCCAGAGG